GUGAGGAAUCUUCCACAAUGGGCGAAAGCCUGAUGGAGCAACGCCGCGUGAAGGAUGAAGGUCUUCGGAUUGUAAACUUCUUUUAUGAGUGAAGAAUAUGACGGUAACUCAUGAAUAAGCACCGGCUAACUACGUGCCAGCAGCCGCGGUCAUACGUAGGGUGCAAGCAUUAUCCGGAGUGACUGGGCGUAAAGAGUUGCGUAGGCGGUUAUGUAAGCGAAUAGUGAAACCUGGUGGCUCAACCACACAGACUAUUAUUCGAACUGCAUAACUCGAGAAUGGUAGAGGUAACUGGAAUUUCUUGUGUAGGAGUGAAAUCCGUAGAUAUAAGAAGGAACACCAAUGGCGUAGGCAGGUUACUGGGCCAUUUCUGACGCUAAGGCACGAAAGCGUGGGGAGCGAACCGGAUUAGAUACCCGAGUAGUCC
rnacentral:rRNA from 1 species